AGAAUUAUUUCUAAAUAAAUCUCAGCCGUUAGAUCAAAAGAUUUGACUCUUACCCAGUCAACCGGUCAUCCUUUUCUACCUAUAUAUAGACUUCUUCUUCUUCAUCUUUUUCUCAUCAUCUCUGCAAAACAAACAACAAAAAUGGCUGUAGAUUUGUUAAAUUAUUCGAAUAUAAAUGAACAAUUAGCUAUACAAGAAGCUGCUUCAGCCGGUUUAAAAUCAAUGGAUAAUUUAAUCCGGUUCGUUUCAUUUCAACAACAGCAAAACCAAACGGUUCAGCCGGAUUGUAGAGAGAUAACUGAUUAUACUGUUAACAAUUUUAGGAAGGUUAUUUCUAUUUUGAAUCGGACCGGUCAUGCCCGGUUUAGACGUAGUCCGGUUCAGGUUACUGAUGAUUCAUGUACGGCUCUUACUCUAUCUCCGUUAACAACGCCGGCGGAGGAAAUACUACCGGCGGUGAAAGCACCGGUGAUUGUUCCGGUUGAGAAGUAUCAAUCAAAGGCGUUGACUCUAGAUUUUACGAAACGGAAAGUUGGUAAAUCUAUGGGAUGUGAAGCUGUUCCGGUGGCGAGUUCGACGACAUCGUCGUCGUUUAUGUCGACGAUUACAGGUGAAGGAAGUGUUUCAAACGGGAAAGUGUUUUCGUCGAUGAACUUACCUCCGCGUCCGCCUGUAUCCUCCGGGAAGCCACCAAUCGCCGGGAAAAGGUGUCGCGAUCAUGAUCUGUCUGAUGAAUUUUCCGGUAGAACCUCUAGCUCCGGCAAGUGUCACUGCAAAAAGAGGUUAGUUGUCUCUUCAUAAUCUCAAACACAUUUAAGCCUCUCCGAUGUAAUUUUAGACUUUCUAAUCCGUUUUUAUUUAUUUCUAACAGGAAAUCUCGAGUAAAAAAAGUUAUCAGAGUUCCGGCAAUCAGUUCAAAAACCGCUGAUAUUCCGGCAGAUGAAUAUUCAUGGAGAAAGUACGGUCAAAAGCCGAUCAAAGGUUCACCAUACCCAAGGUAAUUACACAAACACCAUCAUCAAUCAUCACGGUUCAGUUUUUUACGAAUGAAAAUUCCAAAUCUGAAACUAAGCUUCAUUUUUUUUUUUUCAAUUUUCAGGGGAUAUUACCGAUGCAGUAGUGUAAGAGGAUGUCCGGCAAGAAAGCACGUAGAGAGAGCCACCGACGAUCCAGGAAUGCUUAUUGUGACUUACGGCGGAGAACAUCGUCAUGUUCAAACCACGAUUUCCGGCAACGUCACCA
rnacentral:lncRNA from 1 species